rnacentral:lncRNA from 1 species
GGAGAGCGAAGGGGAAGGAAAGAGGGGGAAAGGCGAGGGGUUGGCCGCUGUGCGCACGCGCACGUCGAACUCUGUGUGCCCCCGGGUUCCUGGCUACAGCGGCAUCCACGUGGAGAAGGUGGCGGCUAAUGCCCAAGACCCAGGAUGAUCUCCACAGACCAGGAAGAAGGCUGUUUUAAACGUGAUACCCAGAAGAGAGGGACAGAGAACUGCCCAACAUCACACAGCAAGGGAGCGGAGGACAGAAUCAAAACUGUAUUCCCCGUCGCCUGAGGAUUCAUUUCCAGAGGGAUUUUAGAAGAUGAGACCCAUCAAGUGGAUGUCACAUUCGCCUUCUCCAUGACUCAAGCGUUCAGGCCAACAGGCCCACACCAAGGCCACUGGGACCCCCUCUGCCCUUCCAGGCUGCCCUCCACUCUUGGGUCCCCGGAGAGACAAGAGGACAGCCACAAAAAAGAAGCUGGUAAGCACUGCUGGUCACCUACUAUUGGCAUCACAACAGCCUGUCAUAGAGAUGGAAUGUGUGAAAGCACUGGGCAUCCUGGGUAGGGCUCAUCCUUGCAAUGGCAAUGGCACUGGAGCUACACCCAGGGCAACCUCCCAGCUGCACACUCUACAGCAUCAGCCUGGCAGUCUGGAAGGACCUCGGCAGCUCCCUGAAGCUCAGCCUUGAAUUCCCAAGCUGCCUGCAGCCAGAGCCCCAGACCCACACAGCCAGUGUCCUGGCCUGACCCCCAUCUGUAAGCUCUGAGUGGUCCUGACUCUCCCACCAUUCCCACCAGCUCUUAGCACUACUCGCC